rnacentral:rRNA from 1 species
GGAGAUAGCUGCUAUGAGUAUCCGAUUAAGCCAUGCAAGUCUAGUAGCAAUACUGGCGAACUGCUCAGUAACACGUCGGUAACCUGCCCUACGGUCAAGCAUAACCCUCGGGAAACUGAGGGUAAUUCUUGAUAGGUGAUUACGCCUGGAAUGGUGUAUCACUCAAACACGUGCCGUAGGAUGGGCCGGCGGCUGAUUAGGCUGUUGGUGGGGUAAUGGCCCACCAAACCUAAGAUCAGUACGGGCCUUGAGAGAGGUAGCCCGGAGAGGGACACUGAGAUACGGGUCCCAGCCCCACGGGGUGCAGCAGGCGCGAAACCUUUACAAUGCACGAAAGUGUGAUAGGGGGAUACUCAGUGCUUACGGCUAUGCUGUAGGCUUUUGUCGAUCGUAAAUAGAUCGGUGAAUAAGUGGUGGGCAAGACCGGUGCCAGCCGCCGCGGUAACCCCGGCGCCACAAGUGGUUAUCACGAUUAUUGGGCCUAAAGCGUUCGUAGCCGG